GGAAGAGAGCUGAAUGCCACGAAAUCCCCGCUGUACUGGUUCUAAAAACAGCUGGAUGCCCUGAAAGAUGAAGGUGGACACAGGAGGCAAACAGCCAGAAGGCUUCACCCACAGGUGACAGAUCUUUUCUAGCAUCAAAGAGGACUGAGCUUUUCCAGGGUCCCAUUCUAGCCUCUGGACCUGAGUCUUGGCAGCACUGACUGGUUACCUGCAAGCCACGCGGUCAUCCCUUAACCUAUCACUGAAGUCAAAGAGAUGUGAUCUCCCCAUUGAUUGGCUUGGCCAGGUCACAUGCUCACCUCUGAGGUUGAAGUGAGGUGAGGUCUGAAGUUACUGUUUGGUGAGUGGGAAAAAUGAUUAAUUUCCCCCUAGAAAACUUGGAGUUUAUUAAGGUUUAAAAGACUUCAGACAACAAACAGGAUCAUAGUCAUCUUAGAGCAAAGAGAGUCUACGGAUGGCUGAGGAGUUGUAAAUACAGCACUGACCAGUGGCUCAGACACCUGUCCAAAGGACUCCUCACGGUCCGAGGACUCCCUGAGACAUCAAGGCUCUGUUCCUGCCAGCUGCCAUUGUAACGGUGGCCAUUGUUGAGAAAGCACAAGAUUAACAAGAGCAAACAUCAACGUGUUUGUCCUUAUUGUCAGUCAGAUGUCGUGGGGGCCAAUAAUGCCUAAUCACAUAUAGGGAUUGUUGUCAGAGUUUUUACUUAUUUUUAAAUUGUGUGUGUGUGUGUAUGUCUCUGGGUACACUUGUAUAUGUGUGAGUACAGGCACCCACGAAAUCCAGACAAGGACAUGGGAUACCCUGGAUCUUGAAUUCCAUAAGGGUGUGAGCCAUUGAAUAUGGGUGAUGGGAAAUGACCUCUGGAAGAGCAGUGAGCACUCUUACCCACUGACCCAUCUCUCCAGCCCUGCCUUUAAUUAGUUUUGAUAGACUGUAAGUUUUUAUGUCGUCUUCACCUGCUGUUGACUGUUGUGAACAAGUUGAUGACAUUUUAAGUUGCAGGUUUUAUUAGAAGUCUCAAGGGUCAUCAUUUCCAAAUUUGUUGAUUCUGAUGUUGCUUCUCCAAGUGUCCUUAAUGUUGGAAUAGGAGAGGCCAUUCGGAAAGCCAUAGGUAUCAAAUGGAAGACUUUAUGAGUAGUAGAUUCACCAAAGAGGCCAUAGCAUGGCGGUGUCUUCCUGCUGGAGUCUCUGAGUUAGUCUGACAGACUCAUGGCAUUUCUCCCUCUGAGAAGUUUUCAUGAGGUAAGGUCUCAGGAUGUGGCAAUCUCAAAAUGACAGACAAAGAGAAACCCUGUUUACAAAUCAGCGGUAUCUGGGGACCAGUGUCAAGUGGAAGAGAGCAGGCCUCACUGUGACUUCCUUCCCAGAAGCCUGGAAUAAAGACUCUGACAUCAAUGAGCAGGGAAGAGAGGGAUGUCAGCGAUGGCUCCAGUUGCCCAGUGACACCGCCCCUUGUCCACUCUGUUCCAGAGAGAUUCCUGCAACAUUUCUGGAAGCCCCAGUGAGAUCUCCUUCUCCAUGGCCCCAUGGUAGAGAGGGGCUGCUGCUCCCUGGUCUCUCAGCACACUAAAGUCUUCUGGAACUGGGAAGCACAAGGGGACUGCGGGACCAAGACUUGGAGUCUCUGGGAAGCACACAUCCUAAACAGGACUUCGGGGUCCUCUCCCAGUGGACAAGGGGACUGUGGGACCAAGACCUGGAGUCUCUGAGAGGAAGACCAGAUGAGACUGGGCUGGAUGUCCAGGCCAGGUAAAGACAAAAAAGGGAGAUAGGCAGGAAGAGCCAGCAAUGGCUAGAUCGCCUUGCAGGAUAUUAUAUCUGGAGCCUUGAAGGGUUACUCAGGUAGCACUGGUCCCCAAGGAAAAGGCCUUGAUGAGAUACUCAGGUGGAUUAGUCUUGGAAGAAAUAGACAGACUAAGCAUUUAAAAGAGGGAUGUAUAACUUCUAAGUGAAUGGUGAAUGACUGUGUAGGUGACUGUAUUGCUCCCGCAGCUCCGUGGCUACAGAAUUUGAUUGGGCCUCAACCUCAGAUCGGCUGAAGCCCUUUCAAAUGAACAGGCACUCCCACUCACAAUAGGAGGUGACCAAGCACAAGGUUAUACAUGUGGACCUAAGGAAAGACCUCUGAAAUUGCCACAUGGUGUCUGGCCAGGCAGAUGCCUGCUUGAGGGAGAAGCUGGUCUCCACCUCACCCUAUUACCACACAGGGUUAGGCACACAUAAACUCCCCCAGUUUCCAGAUAGGGAAUUUUUCUCACCAUGGGAUUUGUAAAAUCCUGAUGUGAAACUCACACAAUCCUGCAAAGACCUUUGUGAUGGUUUGUAUAUCCUUGGACCAGGGAGCAGCACCAUCUGAAGGUGUGGCCUUGUUGGAAUAGGUGUGACCUGGUUGGAAUGGGUGUGUCACUGUGGGUGUGGGUAUAAGAUCCNNNNNNNNNCCUUGAUGAUAAUGGACUGAACCUCUGAACCUGUAAGCCAGCCCUAAUUAAAUGUUGUUUUUUAUAAGACUUGCCUUGGUCAUGGUGUCUGUUCACAGCAGUAAAAUCCUAACUAAGACAACCUUUAAGCACAAAGACUCCAAGGAAGCACCCCCUUAGUGUCCCUGGAGGAUGAAAUCUUGCCCGUGGUGCUGUCUCCCUACCCUACUGGCUCCAGUUGUCAGCACCACAUGUUUGUUUCUACUGCCACUGAGGGAAAUGCCAGGCCCUCCCCUUAUCCAAGAAGGUGACAGCUAUGUUACCUGACCCUAAAUCUGGCCACAUAUUUGCCAGGAGGGAGAGCCCUUCCACGAUUGUGGAGAAACUAUAAAAGUGAUUUUUUUUUCCCUCACAGUCAGAUUUAAAGGUCAAGCUACUUCCCAAUGCAGGUAUGGAACUUUUACUAGUCCUAGUGACCUGAAAUGGAGCCCUAGUACCACAUGAUAGAAGGAAAGAAAAGACCUCUCUGCCUUCCACACACAGGUAGUGGCACCCCCACACAUUAAACAAAUAAACAAAUAAACAGAAAAUAACAUAGCAUGAAGUCUCCCCAUCAGUAUAAGAGAUCAGCUUCCCAGCUUUCAUACCGACUAUCCCCUAUGAAUCCUGCAGCCACCUUGUAUCGUACGACUGUCCCCUAUCCUGCAGCUCCCCUGUGAGUUAGGUAGACAGAUGGCACUUGCCCAGUGUAACAGCCAUCUUGGGCUCCCUGCCCAGUGCUGCCUCAGGCGCUGAAAGUCCUGACAGUGAGUCUGUGCUAAGAGGAGUUUCCACUCUUCCUCCCACGGUUGCACACCGCUUAGGCUUAAACACCAGGCCUAUGUGACGCCAUGGCUUCUCAGUUAACCCAAGUCAUGGAGUGGAAGGCAAUGAAGGGCCUAUGAAUGUGUUUAUGUAAGAGAGAUUUUGCUAAGAUAUUAGCCUAUCCUUGAAUUCUUCAUAGAGCCAGAUGAGCCAGUUUUUUUUUUGUUGUUUUGUUUUGUUUUGUUUUUAAUUAUGUAUGAUGUGUGGGUGUGGGUGAGCAUGCACAUGCCUGCAUGUACCUGGGUAGCUCAGAGGUUAAUGUCUGGUGUCUUCCUCAAUGGUUCUAUGUCUUAAUCUUGAUACAAGUUUUCACAACUGAACUUGUGACUUGCUGUUUCAGCAGGACUUGAUGGCCAUAGUAUCUCUGCCUUUUUCCCUGUGCUGGGAUUAUAGUGUUGCUCCUGGCUUUUAUAUGGGUGCUUGGGAUUUGAACCCAGGUCUUCGUGUUUAUGCAGCAAACAGCUUACCCACCAAAGCACCCCUAGCCCAUGAGCCAGCUUCUCUGUUUCAGGAUCUUAUCUGCUCUUCAGCUUUUGUUCACUUCCCACUUCCUGGGGUGAAGUGCAGUCUCUAGGUGAGGACAGCCACGGCUUCUCUUCACUAUCAGCUUGAUUGGAUGUAGACUGACUGUGGAAGCUCACCUCUGGGGUGUGUCAUCCAGGGUGUGUCUAGAGAGAGUUAACUGAAAAGGGAAGACCCAUCCUGAGUGUGGAUAUGCUGUGCUAUCCCUGGGAAAAGAUCGAGGACAAGAAGACCGUGAGCGAGGCACCAGUGUUCACCUUUCUCUGCUUGCUGACCAUUGAUAUGUGGUCCACUGCUUCACAGUCCUGCCUCCAUGGCCUCUCCACCCUGAUGAACUUCAGUGUGAAAGCCAAAACAGAUGUGAAACACCUGUGCCAAGCAUUCCAUCACAGCAAUGAGAAACAUACAAGGUCUCUGUGAACCAUGACAAAAAAAUGUUACGAGUUCAUAAAUCAAACCCAGUGUUAUCUUCUCCACACGGUAAGACUUAGGUUAUUGGUUGACCUUCUGUGGACCCCAGAUCCUUCAAUGUUAAGCUGAUAAGUUGUUAAUUAAAAUUGAAAACAUG
ensembl:lincRNA